rnacentral:rRNA from 1 species
AUACGGAGGGUGCAAGCGUUAAUCGGAAUUACUGGGCGUAAAGCGUUCGUAGGCGGUUAUUUAAGUUAGAUGUGAAAGCCCCGGGCUUAACCUGGGAACUGCAUUUAAAACUGGAUAACUAGAGUUUAGGAGAGGGAAGUGGAAUUUCAGGUGUAGCAGUGAAAUGCGUAGAGAUCUGAAGGAACACCAGUGGCGAAGGCGACUUCCUGGACUAGAACUGACGCUGAGGAACGAAAGCGUGGGUAGCAAACGGGAUUAGAAACCCCGGUAGUCC